CCCUGCUUCAUUAUAGGUAACAUUUCCAAAUGCUCCUCUCACACCAUCUCCAGGUCUUGUCUCACUCCAUAUUCUCUCUGUUUUUUUUUUCUUGCUUAGAAAGCAAUCAUUAAUCACUGGGAAAUCACAGCACACAUUUACUUUGGCAUCUUUGGGUGUUGAAGUAUAAGCCUAUGGAUGUAGCCCUCAGGAAAUGCACACAAUUCCUCACUGCUCCAGCUUUUAUCAUCAGCACACACAGCAGAC